rnacentral:misc_RNA from 1 species
CUCUCUCUCUCUCUCUCUCUCUCUCUGACUCUGAGAGUUGUUGUGGUGCCAUGGACGAUCUUCCUAUACAGAAGGUGGCAAUAUCGGGUCCCACAUUAGCCUCCAUGAUACAGCGAUUCUCCUCAUCUCUCGGCGACGUGGACGGCAUCCUAUUCGGCCAUGUCACCCACAUCACUCCCUCUACUCUUUCCGACGACUCUCCCCAAACUCACUCCGAUUCCGAUUCCCCUCAACUCGUGGCAACCGUCACUUCCUUCCUUUCCUCCAGCUCCCCUCUUUCCUUCUACGAUUCACUCGGCCGAGUCGACUCUCCUUCUCUCCAUCGAUUCCUAUCCUCCCAAACUCACAAUCAUUUCAUUGGCUGGGUCUCCGCCCGCCGCAA